rnacentral:rRNA from 1 species
GGAGGCAGCAGUGGGGAAUAUUGCACAAUGGGCGAAAGCCUGAUGCAGCAACGCCGCGUGAGGGACGACGGCCUUCGGGUUGUAAACCUCUUUUAGCAGGGAAGAAGCGAAAGUGACGGUACCUGCAGAAAAAGCGCCGGCUAACUACGUGCCAGCAGCCGCGGUAAUACGUAGGGCGCAAGCGUUAUCCGGAAUUAUUGGGCGUAAAGAGCUCGUAGGCGGUUUGUCGCGUCUGCUGUGAAACCCCGAGGCUCAACCUCGGGCCUGCAGUGGGUACGGGCAGACUAGAGUGCGGUAGGGGAGAUUGGAAUUCCUGGUGUAGCGGUGGAAUGCGCAGAUAUCAGGAGGAACACCGAUGGCGAAGGCAGAUCUCUGGGCCGUAACUGACGCUGAGGAGCGAAAGGGUGGGGAGCAAACAGGCUUAGAUACCCUGGUAGUCCACCCCGUAAACGUUGGGAACUAGUUGUGGGGUCCAUUCCACGGAUUCCGUGACGCAGCUAACGCAUUAAGUUCCCCGCCUGGGGAGUACGGCCGCAAGGCUAAAACUCAAAGGAAUUGACGGGGACCCGCACAAGCGGCGGAGCAUGCGGAUUAAUUCGAUGCAACGCGAAGAACCUUACCAAGGCUUGACAUAUACGAGAACGGGCCAGAAAUGGUCAACUCUUUGGACACUCGUAAACAGGUGGUGCAUGGUUGUCGUCAGCUCGUGUCGUGAGAUGUUGGGUUAAGUCCCGCAACGAGCGCAACCCUCGUUCUAUGUUGCCAGCACGUAAUGGUGGGAACUCAUGGGAUACUGCCGGGGUCAACUCGGAGGAAGGUGGGGAUGACGUCAAAUCAUCAUGCCCCUUAUGUCUUGGGCUUCACGCAUGCUACAAUGGCCGGUACAAAGGGCUGCAAUACCGUAAGGUGGAGCGAAUCCCAAAAAGCCGGUCCCAGUUCGGAUUGAGGUCUGCAACUCGACCUCAUGAAGUCGGAGUCGCUAGUAAUCGCAGAUCAGCAACGCUGCGGUGAAUACGUUCCCGGGUCUUGUACACACCGCCCGUCAAGUCAUGAAAGUCGGUAACACCUGAAGCCGGUGGCCCAACCCUUGUGGAGGGAGCC